AGUGUGUGACACUGCUGC
rnacentral:piRNA from 1 species